GACAGAGGGUGCAAACGUUGUUCGGAAUUACUGGGCGUAAAGCGCGUGUAGGCGGCCCUGUAAGUCGGGUGUGAAAUCCCACGGCUCAACCGUGGAAGUGCAUUCGAAACUACAGGGCUAGAGUUCUGGAGAGGAAGGUGGAAUGCUUGGUGUAGAGGUGAAAUUCGUAGAUAUCAAGCGGAACACCGGUGGCGAAGGCGGCCUUCUGGACAGUAACUGACGCUGAGGCACGAAAGCGUGGGGAGCAAACAGG
rnacentral:rRNA from 1 species